rnacentral:lncRNA from 1 species
CUUCUCUCUUUAACCUCUUCAAUAAUUUCUUUCUCAAAAAUCACAACUUCUUCUCUAUAGAUCAACUCCUAUUUCUCUCUUUGCCCUAUUCUUUAACUCCUUUUUGGCUCCCUCAUAUUCUCCUUUGCAGGACUUUUGUCAUUCUCAGGUGCAAUUUGAUUUGAUUUUGGGAUUAUGCAAAUUAGUUAUGUGUUUAUUAUGCUUCUAAGGCAUGUGUCUUUGUUUACUAAUCUUUCUCAUCUAUUGCUAGGUUUUACUUAUCUACGCUUUGUUUGGCUGUACAUAGAAAAUGAUAAGAGAGAGAGAGGGGGAUUUAGGGGAUAUGGACAUGUGGUAUAUAUGGUUCAUUAGCUUCAUGGAUUUGUUAGAUAUUGUUUUGAUGGUAGAGUGCAAUUGUGAUAAUUCUUUGACCUUGCCCAUGCUUUAUUUGUUCUAACCCAAUAUGAAGGGUUUUAUUUUUGUCUUACGUUUUUCCUCUCUUUUAUAACACUUUGCUUAUUAACAAGAUAUAUAAUAAAAAAUUACAAUUGUGUUCCCUCCAUAGAACGGUA